GCGUUGCUCGGAAUGACUGGGCGUAAAGGGCGCGUAGGCGGAUUGAUCAGUCGGACGUGAAAUUCCUGGGCUUAACCUGGGGGCUGCGUUUGAGACGGUUGGUCUAGAGUUUGGAAGAGGGUCGUGGAAUUCCCAGUGUAGAGGUGAAAUUCGUAGAUAUUGGGAAGAACACCGGUGGCGAAGGCGGCGACCUGGUCCUGGACUGACGCUGAGGCGCGAAAGCGUG
rnacentral:rRNA from 1 species